rnacentral:lncRNA from 1 species
CAAGUUCCCACCUGAAACCCCACGUGCAGCACCAGACCAAGCACAGCAUCCUCACUCUGAUCAGCUCUGGGAUGUACUGGGGAUAAACCAGUUCUGGAACAAACGUGGAAUAAACCAGCUCUGGGAUAUUCUUGGGAUAAACCAGCUCUGGAAUAAACUUGGGAUAAACCAGCUCUGGAACAAACAUGGAAUAAACCAGCUCUGGGAUAUUCUUGGGAUAAACCAGCUCUGGGAUAUUCUUGGGAUAAACCAGCUCUGGAACAACUUGGAAUAAACCAGCUCUAGGAUAUUCUAGGGAUAAGCCAGCUCUGGAAGGUAGCAAACACAUGAUGAGAUCAGGUUCAGAGCUGUGCUCUGCUCAGGGCAGGAGCUGUGUUUGGGGCUCCAUGGUCCUGCACAAGAUCCCACCCUCAGCAUCCCUGGGGGACACCCCAGCUCCCCCUGGAGUUACACACACCCCACACCACGGAGAGCAUCUGAAACUCAACGGGAAAAAUAUCUCCAGACUUUCUGCAAUGUCUUCUGAGCCAUCCCUCCUCUGGUCCCCUGCACCUCUGACAGGGAUCAAACUGUGCUGAUUAAAUCAGCCUCUGCAGGACCAAAUUGACAGCUCUUUAAAGCAGUCUGACAAAAAGCAGCAUUAAUUAAGUCAUUGCCGGACUGUAAUUGUGUUAAGAAGUAAAAAUCUAAUAUGAGAAAAGGUUA